rnacentral:lncRNA from 1 species
GGAGUUGAGGGUAGAAAAGAAGAACAGAAGGAUUUUUGAAAUAGGGACUGUCUCUCCUAAGUAGGGACACCUGGGCUGGGAGGUGUGCGUAAGGGUCAGGGGCCUGGUGAUCUCACCAUUCCUCAUCUUGUAUGGGCAAGAAGUGGAACCUUAUGAUCCUUAAUGUGAGUGGGAUUACGCCCCCAAAGUGAGGCGUUGGAGAUGCUAAAUAUCACUAUACUUGCUCUGUAUCUAUGUCUAUUAUUGCACGGUGGGCACUUUAAUGGUAAAUAAAUAGUAUGUAUAAAAUAGGGAGCAGAUCGCAUGGCACACCCACACUAUCCAGUCUACCCAAAACUGCAACACUAACACUAGAUCUGACACUAAUACACUAUCCUGGCGUUCUGGUAUAAACCGUUUUCCCAUAAUACAUAGCUCACAGUUAUGUGUCCUUCAUCUGUACCUUUGACCCUAUUCACAUAAAACUAUGAAGCUUGGAGUUUCUGUUCUUUAUAAAUACGACCUCAGUGUUGUGUAUUCUAUCAUUCGGUUUAGCUGGGAUGUUGCAAUCCUGUCUAACUCAUUAACAAGGCAAUGCUACAUGGUGUACCACGAAUGAUGACAUAUACAGGAACACAAAUUCCAAAAUGCCAAUUUCUCAGUAUUUAAGAAAACCAAACAUUAGUAAUAUCAAAACUGAGAGUGAAGCUUAAACACUCUAGCACUAUACGUCUAUACAUUCCCACAACCCCAUACACUUCUAAGAGGAAAUCGGUGCUGUGUGUGGUCUGUACUAGAUCCAACUAGGUCGUGUUAUGAGUCAGAAUUCUAAAUCAACACAGAAACCAAUAGAAUGUUUCUCACCAUUUAGCACGAUGCAUCAGAAGAACAUUGGUUUUGUCUAGAAUAAUCUCCUCCAACAUUAGCUAUUUGUCAAGGUAAUAGGAGACGUUCUUCACCCUUUAUUCGUUUAAAAUUUUUGCAGCUCAUUAAAUUAAUUUAGAAACUGUAAGAACCAUAACUACCUGUCUAGGUUGUUUGUGUCUCCCUUUAGUGUGUUCAUUAUAGUUGCAGCAACAUUAAAAAAUAACUAGUUGCAAUCCCAUGAGAGCGCAUAGAGCAAGUAUGUGUACAUACAAGUAGCUUCAUUGAUGAAAAGCAAGAAUAAGGCUACUGAGUCAGCUCAUAUAAGUCACAACUCUUGUUUUUCAUGAAUGAAACUGCUAGCGUCUGCUGGGGUACACAUUGAACUCAUACUUGGAAAAAGGUUAUGGAUUUACCCAUUAAAAACAAAAAAACGGGACAGGACAGGCUGAGAAAUCCCGGCCAGAUUGUGGUCCUGCAUAUUUUGCUGAUUUGCUGCAUAUUAGGGACAUUUCACAUCUAUGUUUCUUUUUAAUUUUUUUUUUUUUUGCACAGAUUUUCUUCACACAUUAUCUUCUUAAUUGACUAAAAAAGAGGGUCAUCUCUAUCCUGAAAUGAUCCUUUAUUUGUGUAGUAUCUACUUAUCUUAUGGUUGAAAGACUUCAAUAAAGAAUCUUAGUCUACUGAUGCAAGAAUAGUCAUAAUGUAUAUGUUUCCAUGAGAAACCAUGUCAAAAGAAUUCAGAAUUUAGAGUAAAAUUGUGUGUGACAAAUGCCAGCAAGGUCCCAGGGGGAUGACGGAGCUCUACAUAUUCUGUGCAUCCUUAAAACAUAACAAGCGUGAGGACAUGUACAAUCAGAUUACCUCUGAAAAUGUACUUAGCUAUGUGAGCUGCCAUUUUGAAUAAUUUAUGUUUAAGUUUUGCAGCUCUGCAUAUCUAUUUUCUUUUCCCAUGAUUCAGUCUGUUCCUAAAGGCUUGAAACCACAAGCGACAUCCUGAGGACUCGUUUCCGAUGUUUCUUCAAAGAGUCUCUUGGAAAGUUAUGCAAUACAUACACUGGUUUAUAUACAGCACUGGUCGAAACCAUCGGUACUUCAGCUGCUGUGGACAACAUCUCCCUUACGCCUCUUACAUCCAUAAUGCUGGCAAAGCAUCAGGGGACGUAGUCCACAUCACGAGUGCCGAAGGUUGCCUAUCCCUGAAAUCCAGGGCUAUCCACUAAAGUGUGUAUGUUGGGAUCCAAAGUGAAUUUAAAGUGAGUUUCAAAAUUAUAUACAUGUGGAGAAGGGUAACCCGAACCAGAAAUUGUCAAACUAGUACAGUGAAAUUUAAGAUGUAUUCAUUAUUAUUAAAAAGAAGACAGAUUAUUUAUUAAAG